UACGAAGGGGGCUAGCGUUGCUCGGAAUCACUGGGCGUAAAGCGCACGUAGGCGGCUUCUUAAGUCAGGGGUGAAAUCCUGGAGCUCAACUCCAGAACUGCCUUUGAUACUGAGGAGCUUGAGUCCGGGAGAGGAGAGUGGAAUUCCUGGUGUAGCGGUGGAAUGCGCAGAUAUCAGGAAGAACACCGAUGGCGAAGGCAGCUCUCUGGGACGGUACUGACGCUGAGACGCGAAAGCGUGGGGAGCGAACAGG
rnacentral:rRNA from 1 species